rnacentral:tRNA from 1 species
AUUUAUUUAGUAUAUAAGUAUAUUUGACUUCCAAUCAAAAGGACUGAAUUUUAUUCAGAAUAAAUA